rnacentral:rRNA from 1 species
AGAGUUUGAUCCUGGCUCAGAUUGAACGCUGGCGGCAGGCUUAACACAUGCAAGUCGAGCGGGGAAGGGUAGCUUGCUACCUAACCUAGCGGCGGACGGGUGAGUAAUGCUUAGGAAUCUGCCAUUUAGUGGGGGACAACAUUCCGAAAGGAAUGCUAAUACCGCAUACGUCCUACGGGAGAAAGCAGGGGAUCUUCGGACCUUGCGCUAAAUGAUGAGCCUAAGUCGGAUUAGCUAGUUGGUGGGGUAAAGGCCUACCAAGGCGACGAUCUGUAGCGGGUCUGAGAGGAUGAUCCGCCACACUGGGACUGAGACACGGCCCAGACUCCUACGGGAGGCAGCAGUGGGGAAUAUUGGACAAUGGGCGGAAGCCUGAUCCAGCCAUGCCGCGUGUGUGAAGAAGGCCUUUUGGUUGUAAAGCACUUUAAGCGAGGAGGAGGCUACUAGUACUAAUACUACUGGAUAGUGGACGUUACUCGCAGAAUAAGCACCGGCUAACUCUGUGCCAGCAGCCGCGGUAAUACAGAGGGUGCGAGCGUUAAUCGGAUUUACUGGGCGUAAAGCGUGCGUAGGCGGCUUUUUAAGUCGGAUGUGAAAUCCCCGAGCUUAACUUGGGAAUUGCAUUCGAUACUGGGAAGCUAGAGUAUGGGAGAGGAUGGUAGAAUUCCAGGUGUAGCGGUGAAAUGCGUAGAGAUCUGGAGGAAUACCGAUGGCGAAGGCAGCCAUCUGGCCUAAUACUGACGCUGAGGUACGAAAGCAUGGGGAGCAAACAGGAUUAGAUACCCUGGUAGUCC